rnacentral:rRNA from 1 species
CACGUAGGGGGCGAGCGUUUGUCCGGAUUUAUUGGGCGUAAAGAGCUCGUAGGCGGCUAAGUAAGUCGGGUGUGAAAACUCCAGGCUCAACCUGGAGACGCCACCCGAUACUGCUUUGGCUAGAGUCCGGUAGGGGAGCAUGGAAUUCCUGGUGUAGCGGUGAAAUGCGCAGAUAUCAGGAGGAACACCAGUGGCGAAGGCGGUGCUCUGGGCCGGAACUGACGCUGAGGAGCGAAAGCGUGGGGAGCAAACAGG